UGUUCUGUGCUUCUUGGUGGAUGGAAAAAGGGGGUGUCCCAGCACCGCUGUGCCUCUUUGAAAGGGUGGGACGUUGUGCCCUGAAGUUUCAGUAGGUGACUGACAGUCUUUGCAACGCAGAAGCUGCGAAAAAUGAGAUUUGGAGGCACGCAUAGGCCAUCUCUUCUUUCAGGCUGCAGCUCUUCCUGCCAUCUCCCGAGGUCAUUCCCGCUGAACUUCAGGAUGAACUGAAGAUGAUGACUUCCAUUCCCUUCUUCUAAUCCCAACUGCUAAGACAUCUCCAAUCCACAGUUAGGGGAUUGCGGGGAAGAGCCCUCUGAAUGAUGGGAUUUCCAAGCUUUGGCAUCCUCCAGUCCAUGUACCUUUUCAGAGUUCAGCCUAAAGACCCCUAAGCAUGGAUGCUCUAAUUUUGUGUUUUAUCCCACCUUUUGAUAGCAAGAGGGCCUCUUGCUAUCAACAGCCCCCUUUUGAAUGACACCUUGAAAGUUAUUGCAGAAGAGCCCUUCUAGUGUACGGUACCAAACAUCAGGAGGAGUCUGGGA